AAAAACAUGUNUUUUUGAAAAUAAUUUAAGGUUUAAUCUGCCCACUGAUGAAAAUUGAAGGGCUGCAGUAUAUUGACUGUACAAAGGUAGCAUAAUCAAUAGUCUUUUAAUUGAAGACUUGUAUGAAUGAUUUGAUGAAAUAUAAACUGUCUCUGAUUUAAAUAUAGAAUUUAAUUUUUUAGUCAAAAAGCUAAAAUGAUUUUAAAAGACGAGAAGACCCUAUAGAGUUUUAUAUUUAAAUUAUUUAAUAUUUUAUAUAUAAAUUAUAAUAAAAAUUAAUUAAAAUAUUUUAUUGGGGUGAUAGAAAAAUUUAAGAAACUUUUUUUAAAAAAAAUCAUAAAUAAAUGAAAUAAUGAUCCAUAAUUAAUGAUUAAAAGAAAAAAUUACCUUAGGGAUAACAGCGUAAUUUUUUUUUUUAGUUCAAAUAAGAAAAAGAGAUUGCGACCUCGAUGUUGGAUUAAGAUAAAAUUUAAAUGCAAAAGUUUAAAAUUUUGAUCUGUUCGAUCAUUAAAAUCUUACAUGAUC
rnacentral:rRNA from 1 species